AAGUCGUAACAAGGUAACCGUAGGUGAACCUGCGGUUGGAUCAUUAACAAAAAAGCAUGGGCUGCUUACAAUUGCCUUACGCAUAAGAAAAAACAUUAGCUGCAAAGUGCCUUCUUUACGGGAAGGUACUUUACUGCCGAUGGGCCUUGUGCGUAUCCUUCGGGAAACAUUGUGUGCACUGUUUUUGUCUCUGGCGGCGGGGCUAGUAUUGGGGCAUACAGCAGUAUGCUUCCAUGCUUGCCUGUCAGCCUGGUGUAAAAAGCCAAGGCCGUGGACAAACCGCCAAAUUAUUAAACAACUUGUAAUUCUAACUUUGAGUCUGACUUCAGUUUAUAUUAAAUUAUACAAACAACUUUUGGCAACGGAUCUCUUGGCUCUC
rnacentral:misc_RNA from 1 species